CUUGAAAAAGCCUCGAGGAGGGCAGGAGCACGCCGCUGCCCGCCGGAGACAAACAGGAAGGGUCGGGUCUGUGAAUCGCGUUGGUGGCGAUGAUUUGGGCAGAACUUCCCUAAGGACUGAAAAAGGAUUUCAGAUCCUUGGGGAGACAGAAGAUGAGCCGACGGGCAAGGAGGCCGGGCUGGCUGAACAGAGACAUUUGGCUGGAACUCAAGAACAAAAGGGAAGUUUACGGUCUCUGGAAGAGUGGACAAGCUGUUUAUGAGGAUUACAGGAGGCUUUGUGGUCAGCAAGGAGAUAUAAGUCCAUGCAAGGUCACCUGAUUCCUCUUCUUCGCCUGCUCUUCGUCGUCUGCGCUUCGCCAUCUGCACUUCACCG